GCCGAGGGAUGGGCGGCGGGUGGCAGGGAUGCACGGUGCCCGGGCGUCGCCAGGGUGCCACACACACGAGGCCAUCCACUUAAACUCAGUUGUAUGACUCCUUUUCCCCACCUAGGAAGCGAACUAUCCAGCCCCCGGCGACUGAACGAAGUCACGCAGUAACUCCUUUCUCCUCCGAGAGUUUCAGGUGACCUCAGCGUGGAUGACCCAGGUCAUCCGACUGGAAGAUUGUUGUGUGCACUGAGAACCUGGGCCUGUUGGGUUUGACUCUGACAUGGUGCUCGCUGGCUGAAGACUGCUGUGGUGGUGGCUCUAAAUAAAGGAGUUUGGCCACA